rnacentral:rRNA from 1 species
UGCCAGCAGCCGCGGUAAUACGAAGGGGGCCAGCGUUGCUCGGAAUUACUGGGCGUAAAGCGCACGUAGGCGGAUCAUUAAGUCAGGGGUGAAAUCCCGGAGCUCAACUCCGGAACUGCCUUUGAUACUGGCGAUCUUGAGUUCGGGAGAGGUGAGUGGAACUGCGAGUGUAGAGGUGAAAUUCGUAGAUAUUCGCAAGAACACCAGUGGCGAAGGCGGCUCACUGGCCCGAUACUGACGCUGAGGUGCGAAAGCGUGGGGAGCAAACAGGAUUAGAUA